GAUUGUAAGGAAUGUUUGAGGAGAAAGGUGAAUGUAAUGGAAUGUAAUUAUGUGGCCAGCUGACUCUCUCUCACACACACACACACACACACACACACACACACAGUCUUAAAUAUACAAACAUGUUAUCAAAGAGAGACGCAGACUCGAAAAGUAAACGCACACAAACUCUGAAUGUGUGACGGGUGACUCACAAUCACGCCCCGCUGUCACAACACACACCUUCUUUUAUCAGAGACAUGGCAGAGGGCCAACACACUGUCGCAUUAACGCGCUGCACACACACACACACACACCAGCAGAACAGAUAGAUUCCCACCCGGCUGCAGAGAGGAGGGUACAGAUGAUGGAUGGAAAGACGACAGAGGAGAGGAGCAGACGGGAGGAAAGAAAAGAGGAGGAAGUCUGAGGGCUGAGUGAGGAGUAACACCACCAAAAGGCUCUGAAACCCUCAGGGAGUUCUUCUAUAUAACGGCAAUGUGAACGUCCACAAUAAGCACAAACACAGCUCGACGUUCGUAGCUAUAUCAUGAAAAGUAAUGCACUGUAAUUCGUAUAUAUCCCAAGGAAUCAAUUUGUAUUUAAUCCACGUGAACCAGGAAGUAUAAAGAGAGGUGUCAAAAAACACCAGACUUUCACCAGGAGACCGCUGUUUAUGUCCCGUGUGAAACCAGAAGUCAACGUUGAUUUACUUGUCACGUAACUCCUGUACUAAAGUAACGCUACUUCAGUAGUUAUUUUAAACCAAACCGCCAUCUUUUCCUAAACCUAACUAAGUAGUUUUGUUGUCUAAACCUAACUGAGUAGUUUUGUUGUCUAAACCUAACUGAGUUGUUUCCUGUGAAGACGGAAGUUUAUUUUGAAAAGACUGUAUGCACGUAACAAGCAGAAAUUGACCCGUGUUGCUGGACCUUCGUAGGAGAACGCACAAAAAACGAUUAAUAACUUUUAGUAAGAUGUCAUACUAACCGUUGUAAGAGGAUAAGUGUAUCUUUGUG